ACACAGUGCCUCUUUUGGGCCCUGAGCACCUGUCCAUUAGGGGACCUCUCCUCAGGGACUGUGAGCACGGGGCCCACCCCCUUCGAGCACAGGAACCCCUGCAAUUGCUGUGAGUAGGCUUCCAGCCAGCCCCUCCCAGAAGCAGCUGUGUCCCCCUUGGCCCUUCCUGUCUGGGCCACGGGCUAUUUUUAGCACUGAAGCCGGAACCCACACAGCAGCAGCUGCUUGUGGCCGGAGCGCAAGAACAACAAACCAUCCAGCUUAUUUCCCCUUUUUUCGGAGGAUUGACAUUUGGGCUGUUUCCAGUUUUCCUAUAGUACAAACGAUGCUGCAUUUGUGAACAGUUCUUGAACGUGGGAUUAAGAGUUUCUCCAAGAGAUGAGGGUCUGCCCGUGUUGCCCAGGCUCAUCUUGAACUCGUGGGCUCAAGUGAUCCACCUGCCUCAGCCUCCCAAAGUGCUGGGAUUACAGGUGGGAGCUACUGCAUCCAGCCUAAAAUGCUUAAAGUUAGGUUUUUGCAUUAGGUUUGUGUGCACCUGGAAUGACUUUUGUAUAUGAAGUGAGACAGAGGUCCAGUUUUCAUUUUUCCCCAUAUAAUCAAUUGUCCUAGAGCCAUUUAUUAGCCCGUCACUUCCCGCUUUUUUUUUUU